GAGGUUCAGUGAUGAGCCACUAUCAUGAGUGGUGAACACAGCGCUGCAAACAUUCCUUGCUGCCUUCCUUCUGAGAACAGC